rfam:Populus trichocarpa scaffold_11_contig_440, whole genome shotgun sequence.
UCUCGAACUCGAGAUAUGGGUUGAACACUGAACAAUGUCUGGGCUGCAUGACAGAUUCUGACUUCUCUUUUGUUGCUAUAGUUUGAACUUGAAAACGACCAUUUUGAAUCUUGGACUCUUCAUGAAAGUUUUAGGCUUAUGUCUUAGCUUUCCAAC